rnacentral:rRNA from 1 species
CCUAUAUGAAGUCGGAAUUGCUAGUAAUCGCGGAUCAGCAUGCCGCGGUGAAUACGUUCCCGGGCCUUGUACACACCGCCCGUCACACCAUGAGAGUCGAUAACACCCGAAGCCUGUAGUCUAACCGUUAGGGGGACGCAGUCGAAGGUGGGAUUGAUAAUUAGGGUGAAGUCGUAACAAGGUACC